GGAAGAGGAUUGUCAACAAAAUCAAAGAAGAUGGCGUGGUGAAGAUUAUAAAAGCUAUCAAAAGAGUGGAUAGAAGGCAAUUGAUGAGUUGGGUAGAUGAAGACCCCAAUCAGGAUGGAAAGAUUCGAAGAUAUUUGAUUUAGUCUUACUUGUUGUAAAACAUUUUUUUGGUUUUUGAAUAUGUAACUUUUUGGAUUUUUAAACAUUUCUUGGGUAGCAUCUGCUGAGGGAGGCUAGAAUUUUGUAUGUAUCUACUGAAGGAUAUAGGAAGGCAUACCUACUGAAGGGUGUUGGAAGGAUAAACACUUACUGAUGAGUGUUAAACAGGUUUGGGUCAGGCUCGUGACGUUAAACAAGCGCUUUUAGGAGGCAACCCAGGUUUUGUUUUUCUUUUUCUUUUGUAUUUUGAAUUAGUAGAAUAGGUUGAAUUUUAUUUUUGUGUCUAUGCUUGGCUUGUACACUAAUUCUGGUGAUGGUUCAAUUUUAUUGCAUG
rnacentral:lncRNA from 1 species